rnacentral:rRNA from 1 species
UGCCUCAGUACGGCGAGUGAGCGGCAAAGCUCACAUUUGAAAUCUAGUACCUUCGGUGCUCGAGUUGUAAUUUGAAGGUAGUUUUCUGGUGCUGGCCCUUGUCUAUGUUCCUUGGAACAGGACGUCAUAGAGGGUGAGAAUCCCGUCUGAUGGGGUGUCCAGUGCUUUGUAGAUUUCUACCGAAGAGUCGAGUUGUUUGGGAAUGCAGCUCUAAGUGGGUGGUAAAUUCCAUCUAAAGCUAAAUACUGGCGAGAGACCGAUAGCGAACAAGUACAGUGAUGGAAAGAUGAAAAGAACUUUGAAAAGAGAGUGAAAAAGUACGUGAAAUUGUUGAAAGGGAAGGGUAUUGGAUCAGACUUGGUGUCUUGUGAUUAUCUUCCCUUCUUGGGUUGUGCACUCGCAUUUCACUGGGCCAGCAUCG